UGGCUUCUAGAUUUCACCUUCUUAACCUUGAUGCUAUAUAGUUUCUCAAAGAGGCACAAUUGUUUUGAUUAGCUACAUAGAAAAUGAAGCAGAAUUAAUAAACUAGUAGAACUAACAAAAUAGUUCAACAAGAUUGUUUGCUACAAAACCAACAUUAAAAAUAAAAAAUUUCCACCACAUCAGCGGUAAUCACCUAGAAAAUAUGAGAAAGUAACAUAUCAUUCAUGGUAGGACAAAAUCAUAAUAUGCCUGAGAACAAGCCACUGAAUAAAUGCACAUAAUCUUUGUAUGGAGAAAUAUUAAAAAUUACUGAAGAGCAAGAUGAGAACUAAUUAAGUGAAGAGAUUUACCCUAUUUAUAAAUGAGGUGGUUUAGUAUUAUAAAGAUGUCAAUUUCCUCCACGUUCUUCUGCAAAACCCAUGCAAUAUCAACAUAUCAACAGAAUGCCUUAUAUAACUUGAAAACUGAUUGUAAAAUUUACAUGAACACAUAAGUCUGUGGGUGAGAGACCCUGCAAGUACCGAGGCAAGGCUCUGAAGCCUCAGCCUGUUCCCGUAUAAAUAAUGAAAUAAAAAAGAAUUAGAAAUAUAAUCACAUAAGUAAUCAUAGAUAUAGAUACCUAAAUAUAUAUACUCGGUAUAACCUUUUAAUUUUGCUAAUAUUUCUCGGGUUUCAAAGUGUGAACUUAAGGUGACAUUGUGAAAGAAGUGACCCUAAGGCAAGAUGCUCUAAGCCCUCUGUCACACCCGCAUAAGGGCUGCUGGAGGGCACCUUGGCUAUGCGGCAGCGCUGGGAAAGUGCCUGCUCUUUAGCAAGCUGUGGAAAGAGACGUUGGAAUUAGGAGAACAUUCCGCUCUCUCAAGCUCUUGUGGUAGGCCUGACAGCUGUCAGGGAGGCCCGCAGACAUCCAGGGACGUAAUUGUCUCUAUGUGAUGCUGUGCUUCGGUGGUCAUGUUCCAUGUCCACCUUCAUGUUCUGCUUCUGCACCUGGUUCCUUUUUUUCUUAGAAGAUAUAAUCAG